AAAUUGAAGAGUUUGAUCAUGGCUCAGAUUGAACGCUGGCGGCAGGCCUAACACAUGCAAGUCGAACGGUAACAGGAAGCAGCUUGCUGCUUCGCUGACGAGUGGCGGACGGGUGAGUAAUGUCUGGGAAACUGCCUGAUGGAGGGGGAUAACUACUGGAAACGGUGGCUAAUACCGCAUAACGUCGCAAGACCAAAGAGGGGGACCUUCGGGCCUCUUGCCAUCAGAUGUGCCCAGAUGGGAUUAGCUUGUUGGUGAGGUAACGGCUCACCAAGGCGACGAUCCCUAG
rnacentral:rRNA from 2 species